GCCCCAGUAACGGCGAGUGAAGCGGCAACAGCUCAAAUUNNNAAUCUGGUCCCUAGGGCCCGAGUUGUAAUUUGUAGAGGAUGCUUUUGGUGAGGUGCCGCCCGAGUUCCCUGGAACGGGACGCCACAGAGGGUGAGAGCCCCGUCUGGCUGGCCGCCGAGCCUCUGUAAAGCUCCUUCGACGAGUCGAGUAGUUUGGGAAUGCUGCUCAAAAUGGGAGGUAUAUGUCUUCUAAAGCUAAAUAUUGGCCAGAGACCGAUAGCGCACAAGUAGAGUGAUCGAAAGAUGAAAAGCACCUUGAAAAGAGGGUUAAAUAGUACGUGAAAUUGUUGAAAGGGAAGCGCUUGUGACCAGACUUGGGCGCGGCGGAUCAUCCGGGGUUCUCUCCGGUGCACUUCGCCGCGUCUAGGCCAGCAUCAGUUCGUCGCGGGGGAAAAAGGCUUCGGGAACGUGGCUCCUCCGGGAGUGUUAUAGCCCGUUGCAUAAUACCCUGCGGUGGACUGAGGACCGCGCAUCUGCAAGGAUGCUGGCGUAAUGGUCACCAGCGACCCGUCUUGAAACACGGACCAAGGAGUCGUCUUCGUAUGCGAGUGUUCGGGUGUCAAACCCCUACGCGUAAUGAAAGUGAACGCAGGUGAGAGCUUCGGCGCAUCAUCGACCGAUCCUGAUGUUCUCGGAUGGAUUUGAGUAAGAGCAUACGGGGCCGGACCCGAAAGAAGGUGAACUAUGCCUGUAUAGGGUGAAGCCAGAGGAAACUCUGGUGGAGGCUCGCAGCGGUUCUGACGUGCAAAUCGAUCGUCAAAUAUGGGCAUGGGGGCGAAAGACUAAUCGAACCUUCUAGU
rnacentral:rRNA from 1 species